rnacentral:rRNA from 1 species
GACGGAGGAUGCAAGUGUUAUCCGGAAUCACUGGGCGUAAAGCGUGUGUAGGCGGUUUAAUAAGUCAACUGUUAAAUCUUGAGGCUCAACCUCAAAAUCGCAGUCGAAACUAUUAGGCUAGAGUAUAGUAGGGGUAAAGGGAAUUUCCAGUGGAGCGGUGAAAUGCGUAGAGAUUGGAAAGAACACCGAUGGCGAAGGCACUUUACUGGGCUAUUACUAACACUCAGAGACGAAAGCUAGGGUAGCAAAUGGG